UUUCCAAAACCUCCCAUUCCGA
rnacentral:miRNA from 1 species